rnacentral:lncRNA from 1 species
AUUCAUCACUUAGUGACACAUAUUUAACCCAAGUACAUGUGCAAUAUUUAUUCAUGGCCUAGAAUAUUGUGACUGCCUUUAAACUAUGUCACUUAUACAACAUGUGAUUACAACACGAUUGAAUAAUUAUUUAUUUAUAGAAGGCACAUAGUACAAUAUUUUGCCUUGACAAACUUUGUCAAUUUGAUUUAUUCAUUAUACGGUCGUACUUAUACUAUAAUUUAUUGUCAGGAAUUAUUGAGCAACUAGAUCCACUAAUCAACAUUGUUACUGAUUAAAGAAGUCUACCAACUUAUAGACUGAUAAGCCACGUGCUCAUGGUGAUCUCUUAUCUGACCGGACACCCACUUGCUUAUCACCAACCAGGUGAUCAAAAGUAUGUCCAGUACUCCAAAAUUAUUUAGCAGCUUGCCGCUAUUAUCAUCAACCAGGUGAUCAAAAGUACGUCCAGCACUCCA